rnacentral:rRNA from 1 species
CUUGACUCUAAUCUGACUUUGUGAAAUGACUUAGGAGGUGUAGGAUAUGUGGGAGCUCUGGUGAUCUUGAAAUACCACUACUCUUAAUGUCACUUUACUUACUCUAUCAGACUGUGGCCUGCUUCCCAGCAGGUUUUUGUUUCAAGGCAUCUCAUCUGACUUGUUGACUUGCGUAGAGGACGUAGUCAGGUGGGCAGUUUGGCUGGGGCGGCACAUCUGUUAAAGGAUAACGCAGGUGUCCCAAGGUAAGCUCAAGGAGAACAGAAAUCUCAUGUGGAUCAGAAGGGGAAAUGCUUGCUUGAUUUUGCUUUUCAGUGUGAAGACAAACUGUGCAAACAUGGCCUAUCGAUCCUUUGGGUCUGAGGGAUGUUCAGCUAGAGGUGUCAGAAAAGUUACCACAG